rnacentral:rRNA from 1 species
UACGUAGGGGGCUAGCGUUGUCCGGAUUUAUUGGGCGUAAAGAGCUCGUAGGUGGUUCGGUAAGUCGGAUGUGAAACCUCCAGGCUCAACCUGGAGACGCCAUCUGAUACUGCCGUGGCUUGAGUCCGGUAGAGGAGCAGGGAAUUCCUGGUGUAGCGGUGAAAUGCGCAGAUAUCAGGAGGAACACCAGCGGCGAAGGCGGCGCUCUGGGCUGGCACUGACACUGAGGAGCGAAAGCGUGGGGAGCGAACAGG